rfam:Ipomoea nil DNA, scaffold: scaffold0873, cultivar: Tokyo-kokei standard.
GUGCAUCUGGUGUAGUGGUAUCAUAGUACCCUCUCACGGUAUUAACCGGGAUUCGAUUCCUUGGAUGCGCA